rnacentral:rRNA from 1 species
UUUGAAAGCUGGUACCUUCGGUAUCCGCGUUGUAACCUCGAGACACGUUUUCCGUGCGGCGCUAUGGACAAGUUCCUUGGAACAGGACAUCGUAGAGGGUGAAAAUCCCGUACUUGCCAUGGAUGUACCGUGCUUUGCGAUACGUGCUCUAAGAGUCGAGUUGUUUGGGAUUGCAGCUCAAAAUGGGUGGUAGACUCCAUCUAAAGCUAAAUAUCGGGGAGAGACCGAUAGCGAACAAGUACCGUGAGGGAAAGAUGAAAAGCACUUUGGAAAGAGAGUUAAAAGUACGUGAAAUUGUCGAAAGGGAAGCGCUUGAAGUCAGCCAUGCCGCUCAGGACUCAGCCUGGCUUUUGCUUGGUGUAUUUCCUGGGUAGCAAGUCAGCAUUGGUUUGGAUCGUCGGAGAAGCAUAGUCGGAAUGUGGCGCCCUCGGGCGUGUUAUAGCCUUCUAUUGGAUACGACGAUCUAGACCAAGGAACGCAGCGCGCCUUAUGGCGGGUCUUCGGACACCUUCGCGCUUAGGAUGCUGGCGUAAUGGCUUUAAGUGGCCCGUCUUGAAC